AUUUUAGUGUGCUGCUGUGUGGUAAAUGAGGUGUUCUUAGUGUUUUUUUAGUGUGCUGCUGUGCGGUUACUGAGGUGUUCCGAGUGUUUUUUAGUGUGCUGCUGCGCGGUUACUGAGGUGUUCCGAGUGUUUUUUUAGUGUGCUGCUGCGCGGUUACAGAGGUGUUCCGAGUGUUUUUUAGUGUGCUGCUGCGCGGUUACUGACGUGUUCCGAGUGUUUUUUAGUGUGCUGCUGCGCGGUUACUGAGGUGUUCCGAGUGUUUUUUAGUGUGCUGCUGCGCGGUUACUGACGUGUUCCGAGUGUUUUUUAGUGUGCUGCUGCGCGGUUACUGAGGUGUUCCGAGUGUUUUUUAGUGUGCUGCUGCGCGGUUACUGAGGUGUUCCGAGUGUUUUUUAGUGUGCUGCUGCGCGGUUACUGAGGUGUUCCGAGUGUUUUUUAGUGUGCUGCUGCGCGGUAACUGAGGUGUUCCGAGUGUUUUUUAGUGUGCUGCUGCGCGGUUACUGAGGUGUUCCGAGUGUUUUUUAGUGUGCUGCUGCGCGGUUACUGAGGUGUUCCGAGUGUUUUUUAGUGUGCUGCUGCGCGGUUACUGAGGUGUUCCGAGUGUUUUUUAGUGUGCUGCUGCGCGGUAACGGAGGUGUCCCGAGUGUUUUUUAGUGUGCUGCUGUGCGUUUACUGAGGUCUUCCGAGUGUUUUUAGUCUGUUAUUUGCUUAAAGAUAAAAAGAUUUAGUCUCACGUCUGGACAAGACACAGUUUAUAAUAUUUAACUGCCAGACAUUAUCUUUUCACCCUCCAGUACCAUAUUUUCC